rnacentral:rRNA from 1 species
CCUACGGGAGGCAGCAGUGGGGGAUAUUGCACAAUGGGGGAAACCCUGAUGCAGCGACGCCGCGUGGAGGAAGAAGGUUUUCGGAUUGUAAACUCCUGUCGUGCGGGACGAAUCAUGACGGUACCGCACAAGAAAGCCACGGCUAACUACGUGCCAGCAGCCGCGGUAAU